UACGGGGGGGGUAAGCGUUGUUCGGAAUUACUGGGCGUAAAGGGCUCGUAGGCGGCCAACUAAGUCAGACGUGAAAUCCCUCAGCUUAACUGGGGAACUGCGUCUGAUACUGGAUGGCUUGGAUCCGGGAGAGGGAUGCGGAAUUCCAGGUGUAGCGGUGAAAUGCGUAGAUAUCUGGAGGAACACCGGUGGCGAAGGCGGCAUCCUGGACCGGUAUUGACGCUGAGGCGCGAAGGCGUGGGGAGCGAACGGG
rnacentral:rRNA from 1 species